rnacentral:rRNA from 1 species
CCUACGGGUGGCAGCAGUAGGGAAUUUUCGUCAAUGGGCGCAAGCCUGAACGAGCAAUGCCGCGUGAACGAGGAAGGUCUUCGGAUCGGAAAGUUCUGUUGAAGGGGGAGAAGGGCGGGGAGAGGAAAUGCUUUCUGAUUGAUAUUGGCCUUAGAGGAAGUCCCGACUAACUGCGUGCCAGCAGCCGCGGUAAUACGUAGGUGGCGAGCGUUAUCCGGAAUGGUUGGGCGUAAAGGGUGCGUAGGCGGCCUGCUAAGUCAGGAGUGAAAGGUACCGGCUCAACCGGUACAGGCCCUGGAAACUGGCGGGCUAGAGAGCGGGAGAGGGCGGUGGAACUCGAGGUGUAGCGGUAAAAUGCGUAGAUAUAUGGAAGAACACCAGUGGCGAAGGCGGCCGCCUGGCCUGUUACUGACGCUGAGGCACGAAAGCGCGGGGAGCAAAUAGGAUUAGAUACCCUGGUAGUC